AUGAGGCUGCUGGGUCUUGUCCUGUGCCUGGUCACAGCUCUCCAAGGGGUUCUGUGCCAGGUGCAGCUGCAGGAGUCAGGACCUGGCCUGGUGAAGCCCUCACAGACCCUGUCCCUCACCUGUGCUGUCUCUGGAUUCUCCAUCACGACUGGUAGUUAUGGCUGGAAUUGGAUUCGUCUGCCCCCAGGGAAGGGGCUUGAGUGGAUAGGGCACAUAUGGAGUGAUGGUGAUACUAUCUACAGCCCGUCCCUCAAGAGCCGAGUGUCCAUCUCCAGAGACACAUCCAAGAACCAGUUCUCCCUGCAGCUGAGCUCCCUGACAAUUGAGGACACAGCCACCUAUUACUGUGCCAGACCCACACUGAGGGGACCUCAGUGA